GCUGCCACGAAGUCUGGAUCGAAUGGUACGUGCGGCUCCACUGCGGUGUCUGCACGUUGAUGUUGCCGUAGCCCCGGUAGCUGCGAAGCAGGUUGUUGUUCAGCGCCGUGCCCGGCGUCAACUGCGUGGGGUCCUGGCCGGCCGCUGUCAGCGUCGUGCCGACAUCGAUCUGGUUCAGGUUGGUGGCGUUACCGUUCUGCGUGCCAGCAAGCGCGUCAUAUUGAUGAUGGCCGACGUAGGACACGUCGAUCGACGAGGACCACGGCAGCGCGUACUGCACGCCCAGGUUCCACUGCGUAUCCUUCGGAACCGCCGAGUCGUACUGGUUGACGGUGAUGCCGGGGACCGGUCCGAACUGGAGCGUGCUGCUCUGCAAGUCAGCGAGUCUCCCCCACUGCUGUGUCAAGCCUGUCGCCGUGGGCGGAUUGGCCACCGUGCCGAACGCCGUAUUGCCGUCUGGCCGAUCGAAGUAGAGGCCUGCCGAGCCCCGGACCACGAACUGCUGACGCCCCGUCACGUCGUACGCCGCACCAAACCGCGGACCGUACACCAUCGCCGGCCACGUGUAGCCGGCCUCGCUGAUGCCAUCGCCUGCGCGCACCAUUCCGUUGGCGAAGUCGCCGGUGCCGACGAUGACCUGGCCGAUGAGCGACGCCGUGUUCGUACCGAGCAGUGCACCGGUGCGUGGAUCCUUGGCCUGGCGAUUGGCCGCCGAGCAUGGAUUGACGUUGCCGGGGCACGCCGCUUCAUAGAGGAGCGGCGCAUUGGCCUGGCUCCACUUCUCCGGAAAGAAGUUCGCCACCUGCUGCAGGCUGUCCGUGUAGGGUCCCUGAUGGACGAAGCGCAUGCCGUAGUCGAGCGUCAGCUUGCGAUUCACCUUCCAGUUGUCCUGAAUGUACCCUUCGUUGUUCCAGUAGU
rnacentral:misc_RNA from 1 species